ensembl:lncRNA
GGACGAAAGCCAUGGGGAGUGAAGAGCCAAUGGGGAGAGAAGUACAUGGUAGAUGCUGGUACGAAUUUCCAGGAAGUGUAGGUGAGAAUUCAACACUGAAGCAGGCACAGUACCUGGUCAUCUUUAUUUCCAACACUUUCAUGGUAAAUGUCAAAAGGAAAUGCAGAACUUUGAUGAUGUAUUGAGAGGAGAUACAAACAAUUACAGUAAUGAUUGAAUUUAAAAGGGAUUGAUUGCCCAAUGAUCAAUUCAUUCAAUUAUAUUACUAAGUAAUGAAGAUUACCUAUCUUGGAACAAAAGGACAAUGUUUUUGAUCUUCAUAUUCCAAAGUGUGCAAAAGACUAGAAUUUCAGAUGUAAAAGAGGCUGCCUUUAGGAGUGACAUACAAUUAAAGGGAGAAUGCAAUUGCUGAUAUCUAACACUGAAACUAUAUAGAAAAGGUGAAGAGAGAAG